CUCUAAGGAGGCUGUGAUGCAUGCGAAGGAAAGCAACUGACUUAACUCAUUGGGAUUCAGGGAACGACCUGCCCUCUUUUGGAAAGAAAAAAAAAUAGAAGAAGGAGAAGGAGAAGAGUAAGUGUGCGUGUGUGUGUGUGUGUGCGUGUGCGUGCGUGUGCGUGCAUGUUCGUGUGAGAGAGAGGGAGAGGGGAGGGGGAGAUACACACAGUGCUGCUUUCCUGAGCUGCCGCUUCCCAAGCAGAAACUAUCGGGAGAAACGCAGCGUCUUGGCUCUUUCCUGCAUUUACACAAUGAAAUCACUGCUGUUUUUAUUCCUGCUAACGGGCCGCUUUUGUUUGCAUCCACUCCGAGACAUGGACGAUGGGAACAAAUAAGUGCUUAAGAUCAAAUAGACAAAAAAAAAAAAAAAAAAGAGAGAGAGAAAAAAAAGCCCAACCACGCUGGGAUGCUGGGAUGAGGAUUACUCACUUUAGCUCUGACUGGAGCAGCUAUGAAACUUGUAGCUCUACAAGCUGCUGAGCCCAGGUAAGUGAGGCAGUGAGCAAAGCAAGCCCUGCGCAGGACGAGCAUCCUCCCACUGCCUGCACCAGCACAGCCAGCCCCAGGAGCAGCACCUUCCGCAGUGCCUGUGCCAAGAGAUGUAGAGCUGAAGCACUGUGUCCAGCACCCCGAGGCCUGGUGCACAACUACUGUGGGACAAUGUAUGAGCCAGCUAGCAAGUUUUUUGAGGCAAAGCAAAUGCUGGAAUAAAAGUCAUCUAAUGAUGCAAAAGUCUGAGGAAAUCAUAAAUGCAGGAACAGGGGUGGUUAGAACUGAAUGCUCUUCACCGCUCUUACCAUCUCAGUCUACAAACAUGACUGUGUGUCCAGAUGCAGCACAUGAGCCUGCCACAUGACAACUGUUCUACAGCUCACGAGUGGGUGUGAAGGAGAAAAGAAGGAAGACUACCCAAGCCAAUCCAACUGGAAACAGCAAAAGUGCCUGGAACAUAAUAGGAAUAUAGAAGCUGACUAUUUAUUUGAAUGAAUGCGACCAGUCCUGAGUAGAAAGGAGGACUGAGAUAUUAUACAAAAUUAAAUCAAGAGAAAUAAUUCUCCAGCUUCAGAAGAUUGCACUGCAAUACGGAGAAGCACAGAAGUGAUACAAAGAGCAACGGGACUGUGAAAAUUACAUUAAAAUAUUUUGGUUUGUUGUUUGAUUUUUUGUUUGUUUGCUUGCUUUUGUUUUUAAUUUAUAAUACAUUUUCCUCAAUUGUGUAUCAUCAUCCUUUUCUGUUGAGCUUAAGACAUUCAUGCAAGCAAUUUUAUUUCCAGCAAACAUUAACAUUUGGUAGCUAAGCACAAAAAUCCCCACACUUUUAUAUCUCCACAUGCACGUUUCCACUGAAUUUGCUCAAGCACCUCAUCCGAUCAAAGAGUAAGAACAAUUCUGUUCAACAAGCAAGACCCACAAACAGGUUUCGAGUAAUAAAGAAUGACUUCAAAGAGCUGUUUUCUGAUGAACACUGAAACGUUUGCUGAGCAUGCUAGAAAAAGCUGUGUCUGUUCAUACAUAGGUUGGAUACUGGAGCACAACAAAUUUUUCCUUAAGCCACGUGAAGAAGGAUGAAGGGAAAGCAGACAGGGAUAAACCUUGAGCACUGAAGCUGUGAUUUCAAGCCAAAGCCUGCCCUUAUGGAGCCUUAUGGGGGGGUUAUGAAAAGCUUCUACGGAACAGGAAAACAAGUCCUUCUUUCUUCCUAUGUGCUUCAGAGAACUGAGAAAAACAGAAAGACCUGGAAUUGAGAAAGAUCAGUAAAGGAGAGCAGUAGAUUAGUCCAGGCAGGAAUAUGCAGAAACAAUUCCCAUGAAGGAUUUGCAAAGAUAAAUAAGAACAAAUGUGAGAGAAAGUUGGAUGAUCAUGUUAAAUAAUUCUGAAAUACUCGCUGUUGAAUGAGCAGGAGAAACCUGGCUUUGAAUUUGUUAGAAUUAUACAGAAACAUUAAAGUAUUGCCUCAUCAACACACAUUAAUUAAGGUAAUAUGAAUCAAUGUAAUGCAUAACAGACUUGUAUAAUCUCCCUAUAUGAAAUCUGAUGUUUCCCUGUUGUGCUUGAAUUUGCAUCUCUAUAUUUUUCUUAAUUUUAGAAACUGUCCUACUUGCAGCUACGGCUUUCCUGGCGGAGAAUGACAGGGUGGGAUUUUAGUCAUCAACAGUGCUCAGCUAAGGAGUCAAAUUGUGUUGAAUGAGCCCUCUGCUACUUCGUGAGAUGGUGUUGAACUUAAACACCUGAGCUGCAUGCAGGAUUUCUUUGUCCUUCUAUUGCUAGGAAAGAUGGCACAUUUACAAAGUGAUUGCAAAGGUAAGGAGUUAGUGAUCAUCAUACCAGUUGUUCAUAUUUUCUGAAGGCUCUAGAGAAACACACAGCAGUCCAUUAACCAACCAAACAAGCAAACAAACCCAAGAGGCAUCUGGACAGGUAGUUAAGUUGCUACUACUGAAUUUCUUACAUUUUCCCAAACAGUGAGGGGAAGUUUAGUAAAAUAAAGGUUCCUACAUGCUCAAAAAUUGUCCAACAUCUCCCAAACAAGCAGCUUACAAAAAAACAAAGCCCUGAAAAAUACACAGCAAAACCCUAAGGUGAAUAAUGAAGCAUGACCAAACAUUCUUUAUUUUAAAAAAUCUUCUAUAUUCUGUCUUUACUUCGAAGUUUUUUAAA
ensembl:lncRNA